AGCUCAGAAAGAGGAGUGUGGGAGGCUGCUGACCCAGAUGAAUGGAAUGAAACAUUGUAGGGAACAGUUAUAUCCUCAGAUGCCUUCUCUCAUCCCACAAAGCUGAGCAGCUGUCCGUCCUUGACUCUGGGAGAAAGGCGUUAUCAUCAAGAUUUCCAUAAGUGGACAGAAGACACACUGACCAUGAAAGGAAGGCCAGCACUGGGUGAUCAUUUUCAUUCUAAAUGGAAUCUCAUCAAAUAAGCAAAGAAGAUUAAGCGCAGAGAAAAGACAAUGCUGUCACCAUGCCCAUGCCAAACACUUUUCAUCUAUUCUUCUGAGACUAGCUCUGAGAAGUUACCUGGGAGAUUUUACCUAUGUAAGAAGACAACCUUUGCUCACUGUGGAGUUCUGUCCCUCACUUUUCUGCAAUUUGUUGGAACAUCCUUCAGAGAUCAGAGAAGCUUUGUUCUAGGACAUUGGCUGUUCUUGGGACUCAUUCAAUCUCCCUGAAAGUCACUUACUACCCCUUAAAAUUACCUACAUUUCUCAUUUCUCUCUUCCCUAUGAAGAGAGUAUUUAAGCUUCAACCACCUUGCCCUUCUUUGAGUUUCAUAUUUUGUAUGGUUCCCGUAAACACUUACAUGUUAAUAAAUUUGUGUGCUUUUCCUCUUGUAAA